UAUCAGGGUCCAAAUAACACCACCUCUUUCUCAGUUGCUCAAAUUUCUUACUUCAAUUCCUCAGAGUCAUGGCUGCCAUCAAGGUCCACGGAAACGUUAUUUCGACCGCUGCAAUGCGAGUUUUUGCUACUCUCUACGAGAAAGACAUCGAAUUCGAGCUUGUUCCAAUCGACAUGAGAGCUGGUGAACACAAAAAGGAGCCCUUCAUAUCCCUCAAUCCAUUUGGUCAAGUUCCAGCUUUCGAAGAUGGAGAUCUUAAGCUCUUUGAAUCAAGGGCGAUUACACAAUACAUUGCCCACGAGUAUGCUGACAAGGGAACCCCUCUGGUGAUCCGAGACUCGAAGAAGAUGGCAAUUAUAUCAUUGUGGUCGGAGGUGGAGGCCCAAAAGUUCGACCCGCCGGCCACAAAACUGACCUAUGAGCUAGCUAUAAAGCCUAUGUUUAAAAUGACCACAGACGCGGCAGUUGUGGAGGAAAAUGAAGCCAAGUUGGCUGUGGUUCUUGAUGUAUAUGAGACUCGUCUGGCUCAGUCGAAAUACUUGGCAGGUGAAAGCUUCACUUUGGCUGAUCUUCACCACCUUCCCACCAUACAUUACUUGAUGGGAACACAAUCGAAGAAGCUGUUCGAAUCCCGCCCCCAUGUUCGCGCAUGGGUGGCGUAUAUCACAGCAAGGCCAGCUUGGAACAAGGUCGUUGCCCAGCAAAAGUGAAACAAGUACUAAAGCUUGCUGCUGCAGCUUACUCAACAGAGUCAUAUAUCUACAAUAAUAUGUAUGUUAGUUAUCAAACGUUCGUUUGAUUUUCUGUUUCCCCGAAAUAAUUGAAGGACAAGACUCCGCUACUGCUGCUGAUGCCUUUUGCAUAUGCUUUUACAAUCUGUUUUUGGUGUUUUAAGUUUGUGUUCCACCAAACCAGUAAUUUGAUCUCAACUGACUCCAA